rnacentral:rRNA from 1 species
GACAGAGGUCCCAAGCGUUAGGCGGAAUCACUGGGCUUAAAGCGUGUGUAGGCGGAUUUGUAAGUACCUUGUGAAAUCCCACGGCUCAACCGUGGAACCGCUGGGUAUACUGGUUGUCUUGAGCCGGCUAGGGGCGAGCGGAACAGACGGUGGAGCGGUGAAAUGCGUAGAUAUCGUCUGGAACGCCGAAGGUGAAAACAGCUCGCUGGGGCCGCGCUGACGCUGAGACACGAAAGCCAGGGGAGCGAACGGG